rnacentral:rRNA from 1 species
AGGGAAUCUUCCACAAUGGACGCAAGUCUGAUGGAGCAACGCCGCGUGAGUGAAGAAGGCUUUCGGGUCGUAAAACUCUGUUAUUGAAGAAGAACGUGUGUGACAGUAACUGGUCAUGCAGUGACGGUAUUCAAUCAGAAAGUCACGGCUAACUACGUGCCAGCAGCCGCGGUAAUACGUAGGUGGCAAGCGUUGUCCGGAUUUAUUGGGCGUAAGCGAGUGCAGGCGGUCUUUUAAGUCUGAUGUGAAAGCCUUCGGCUUAACCGAAGAGGGGCAUCGGAAACUGGGAGACUUGAGUGCAGAAGAGGAGAGUGG